GGUAGUCCGCGCCGUAAACGAUGUCGACUUGGAGGUUGUGCCCUUGAGGCGUGGCUUCCGGAGCUAACGCGUUAAGUCGACCGCCUGGGGAGUACGGCCGCAAGGUUAAAACUCAAAUGAAUUGACGGGGGCCCGCACAAGCGGUGGAGCAUGUGGUUUAAUUCGAUGCAACGCGAAGAACCUUACCUACUCUUGACAUCCAGAGAACUUAGCAGAGAUGCUUUGGUGCCUUCGGGAACUCUGAGACAGGUGCUGCAUGGCUGUCGUCAGCUCGUGUUGUGAAAUGUUGGGUUAAGUCCCGCAACGAGCGCAACCCUUAUCCUUUGUUGCCAGCGGUUAGGCCGGGAACUCAAAGGAGACUGCCAGUGAUAAACUGGAGGAAGGUGGGGAUGACGUCAAGUCAUCAUGGCCCUUACGAGUAGGGCUACACACGUGCUACAAUGGCGCAUACAAAGAGAAGCGACCUCGCGAGAGCAAGCGGACCUCAUAAAGUGCGUCGUAGUCCGGAUUGGAGUCUGCAACUCGACUCCAUGAAGUCGGAAUCGCUAGUAAUCGUAGGUCAGAAUGCUACGGUGAAUACGUUCCCGGGCCUUGUACACACCGCCCGUCACACCAUGGGAGUGGGUUGCAAAAGAAGUAGGUAGCUUAACCUUCGGGAGGGCGCUUACCACUUUGUGAUUCAUGACUGGGGUGAAGUCGUAACAAGGUAACCGUAGGGGAACCUGC
rnacentral:rRNA from 1 species